CACAUUCCCCAUUUCCAUUCUCAUUUUUUGUAAUAUACGACGGUAUAUUAGGGAGCGUCUAAACACCACCUAGGCCGCCUUAGUGCACUAAGCUCAAGAAGCUGCACUAAGCCCAUGAUGGGAUGGUGCUAUGAAUGUAAAAAAGAUACCAUCGGACGCUGUUUUUUUUGAAGAUAAUGUAUCUGAUUUUUUUAGUCAUUAGAAAUUGUAGUUAAGUCGUAAUUUGAUUUUUUCUGUCAUUAAAGGUUUUGUCCGACGACACGUGCCAGUAAUUAACAAGGUAAUAAAAUCACUGACCCAUGCAGAAAUAAAGAAACAUAACAAUUACACGGCUUCCACCUUUUUGUUUGCCGUGUUAUAUAAUUGUUUGUUUUUGUAGGAUUUAAAACAAAACUUUGUAUUUCUUUCUUUUUUUAGUGUAUUUUUUUAUAGGUUAAUUAUUUUGACUUUAUGAUACUUUUUUUGGGUUUUUUUAGUCAAACUUCAUUGUAAUUCGAAGUUGAUGAUUUUUGUAAAACGAUUGUUUUAGGUGGUGUUUGUUUCGUUGUAUUUGUAAAAUUGUAUGAAAGAUUGGUUUGUCCUAUAAUAGAAUAUGGAGCAGGUAUAUGGGGUCAAAAAACAUAUUCCUGUAUUAACUCUAUACAUAAUAGGGCUUGUAGAUUUUUUUUCUCGGAGUACAAAAAUAUGCACCAAAUGCUACAGUUACUAGAGACUUAGGAAUACCACCUAAUUUUGAUAAACAGUGGAAAAGUAUUAUUCGUUUGUGGUGUAGAUUAAAUAACAUGAGCUCAAAUCGGUUAAGUGCAAAAGUUCACAAGUGGGCUGAUAGUGUGAGUAUUAAGCAUAAGUGUGUUAAAAACUGGAUUUUCUUAGAAAAAAAAACCUUCUAGCUAAAUUCAAGUCAUUUAUCGUGUCCUGAAAAUAUGGACACUAACUUUGUUGUAAUUUUUUUUAUGUCAAAAUUGUUCCUGUAACAAAUACCAUGUACAUGUACAUAUAUGAGGCUAUGAAAGUAAAUAAAUAGAGUUUACAGAAAUAAAGAUGAUAAUGGGAUAAGCACUUUAAAUUACAGAAUAAAGAGAUGAAAAUAUAAAGAAUAGAUUAAAUGAUUCAUGGUUGCUUAACGACCAGUUACAAAUAUUACACUCUACCCUCCAUGUUUUUG
rnacentral:lncRNA from 1 species